rnacentral:rRNA from 1 species
AGACGUAACACAUGCAGUCGAACGGUAACAGGAAGCAGCUUGCUGUUUCUUACGAGUGGCGGACGGGUGAGUAAUGUCUGGAAACUUGCCUGAUGGAGGGGGUAACUACUGGGAACGGGAGCUAAAACCGCAUAACGUCGCAAGAACCAAGAGGGGGACUUAGGGGCUCUUGCCAUCGGAUGUGCCCCGAUGGGAUUAGCUAGUAGGUGGGGUAACGGCUCACUAGGCGACGAUCCCUAGCUGGCUGAGAGGUGACCAGCCACCUGGACUGAGACACGGCCAGACUCCACGGGGAGCAGUGGGAUAUUGCACAAUGGCGACUGAUGCAGCAUCCGCGUGUAUAGAAGCCUUCGGUUGUAAAGUACUUUCAGCGGAGAAGGAGAAAGUUAAUACCUUUGCUCAUUGACGUUACCCGCAGAAGAAGCACCGGCUAACUCCGUGCCAGCAGCCGCGGUAAUACGGAGGGUGCAAGCGUUAAUCGGAAUUACUGGGCGUAAACGCACCAGGCGGUUUGUUAAGUCAGAUGUGAAAUCCCCGGGCUCAACCUGGGAACUGCAUCUGAUACUGGCAAGCUUGAGUCUCGUAGAGGGGGGAGAAUUCCAGGUGUAGCGGUGAAAUGCGUAGAGAUCUGGAGGAAUACCGGUGGCGAAGGGGCCCCCUGGACGAAGACUGACGCUCAGGUGCGAAAGGUGGGGAGCAAACAGGAUUAGAUACCCUGGUAGUCCACGCCGUAAACGAUGUCGACUUGGAGGUUGUGCCCUUGAGCGUGGCUUCCGGAGCUAACGCGUUAAGUCGACCGCCUGGGAGUACGGCCGCAGUUAAACUCAAUGAUUGACGGGGCCCGCACAAGCGUGGAGCAUGUGUUUAAUUCGAUGCACGCGAGACCUACUGUCUGACAUCCACGGAGUUUCAGAGAUGAGAUUGUGCUCGGGACUGUGAGACAGUGCUGCAUGCUGUCGUCAGCUCGUGUGUGAAUGUGGUAGCCCCACAAAAAAAAAA